rnacentral:rRNA from 1 species
UGAGGAAUAUUGGUCAAUGGGCGAGAGCCUGAACCAGCCAAGUAGCGUGAGGGACGACUGCCCUAUGGGUUGUAAACCUCUUUUGAUUGGGAACAAAGAGCGCCACGUGUGGUGCGUUGCGUGUACCUUUCGAAUAAGCAUCGGCUAAUUCCGUGCCAGCAGCCGCGGUAAUACGGAGGAUGCAAGCGUUAUCCGGAUUCAUUGGGUUUAAAGGGUGCGUAGGCGGCUUGGUAAGUCAGCGGUGAAAUUCCAGUGCUCAACAUUGGCCGUGCCGUUGAUACUGCUGGGCUUGAAUGCGGAUGCCGUGGGAGGAAUGUGUGGUGUAGCGGUGAAAUGCAUAGAUAUCACACAGAACACCGAUUGCGAAGGCAUCUCACGAAUCCGCAAUUGACGCUGAGGCACGAAAGUGUGGGGAUCAAACAGGAUUAGAUACCCUGGUAGU